rfam:Medicago truncatula strain A17 chromosome 7, whole genome shotgun sequence.
CCUAUAAGUAAUAAAAAGUCCGUUUAGGUCCCUUAACUUUAUUUAAAGUAUCCGUUAGGUCCUUUCUCUUAAUUUAAUUCAAAAAAACGUUAAGUUUAGGGACCAAACUAAUACUAAUUAAAUAAGUUAAUGGACCAAAAUUUAACGUUUUUUUAAAUUAAAUUAACAGAAAGGACCAAACUGAUACUUUAAAUAAAGUUAAGGGACCUAAAUGGACUUUUUAUUACUUAUGGGA